ACAGCGUAACACUUUUUUACCUGCCUCUAACUCUCUUGACAACAUCAUCCGAAUAAAUAUAAAUAUUUAUAUAAUGUCUCUUGACAACAUUAUUUUAUACGAAUAAAUAUGAAUAUUUAUAUAAUGUUGGAGUAUUUUUUCUUACAAUAAUUAAUACUCCUAAUAUUUAGCUGAGUCAGCUAAUCUAUAAAUUCACGAGAAGCUUCCAGCUGUCCACAUUGACCAUUAUCGCCUCGCUCCUUCUCUCUUUUUUCCCCCCAAAUCCCUCUUUUCACCGAACUAGGGUUUUCUUUCCUCUUUGAUCCGUGUAUUCUUUAACGAACUCUGCAGAAUUCAAUCAAUCAUGUCAUACGAGAAGCUCGACGGGCUAGCAAGGUGGUUCGGGACAAGCGUUGCAUCGGCGUUUUUCGCAUCGUUGGAGCGAUGCUCGUGUGUGAAUCUCAACACCGACGAUGAAGACGAUGAAAACGAGGAAGAAGCUAAAGAUCGUCCUCUCAUGGUCUCCAAUCUCCCUUCUCACCUCGAUUCUUCCCCUCCUGCAGCAACCAAUCCUGCCUCCGUUGAAAAACUCCCCGUUUGAUUCGAACGGUGAUCAUGCAGCAACUUUGUCAUAGCAGUCCUUUGGCUCUUACAAAGUGGAUUUUUCUCUCCUGUUUUUUUUCCUUCUCUGCCAACAGAGUAGAUUUACUCUGGUAUAAGCUGUAACAUUCUAGUAGACAUUUGAUUUUUCUUUGAUAGGGUAAUAUAAAAAGUGUGUUGUAUGUUGAGAGUAUUGUUACAAGGUCAAAAACACUAAAAGCACUGUAUGCAUUUUCCUUUUCCUUUUCCUUCGCCUCAUCAUGUAGCUCUGGUGACAGAGAAUUGACAUGCAUAGCAUUUGAGCUACUUGAAUUUCAAAAUAUCCACAUAAUAACCA